rnacentral:rRNA from 1 species
AGCGAACGCUGGCGGCAGGCUUAACACAUGCAAGUCGAACGCCCCGCAAGGGGAGUGGCAGACGGGUGAGUAACACGUGGGAACGUACCCUUUGGUUCGGAAUAACUUGGGGAAACUCAAGCUAAUACCGGAUAAGCCCUUAUGGGGUAAGGUUUACUGCCGAAGGAUCGGCCCGCGUCUGAUUAGCUAGUUGGUGAGGUAAUGGCUCACCAAGGCGACGAUCAGUAGCUGGUCUGAGAGGAUGAUCAGCCAAACUGGGACUGAGACACGGCCAAGACUCCUACGGGAGGCAGCCGUGGGGAAUAGUGGACAAUGGGGGCAACCCUGAUCCAGCCAUGCCGCGUGAGUGAUGAAGGCCUUAGGGUUGUAAAGCUCUUCUACCCGGGACGAUAAUGACUGUACCGGGAGAAUAAGCCCCGGCUAACUUCGUGCCAGCCGCCGCCGUAA